rnacentral:rRNA from 1 species
AGCCGCGGUAAUUCCAGCUCCAAUAGCGUAUAUUAAAGUUGUUGCAGUUAAAAAGCUCGUAGUUGAAUUUCGGGAUCGACGGGUCGGUCGCGCCUCUGGUGUGUACUGGCCCUGUCGGUUUCUCCCUUCUGACGAACCACGAUGUCAUUAAUUUGGUGUCGUGGGAAAUCAGGACUGUUACUUUGAAAAAAUUAGAGUGUUUAAAGCAGGCAUUCGCUUGAAUACAUUAGCAUGGAAUAAUGAAAUAGGACGUUUGAUCUUAUUUUGUUGGUUUCUAAGAUCGACGUAAUGAUUAAUAGGGAUAGUUGGGGGCAUUAGUAUUCAAUUGUCAGAGGUGAAAUUCUUGGAUUUAUUGAAGACUAACUACUGCGAAAGCAUUUGCCAAGGAUGUUUUCAUUAAUCAAGAACGAAAGUUAGGGGAUCGAAGACGAUCAGAUACCGUCGUAGUCUUAACCAUAAACUAUGCCGACUAGGGAUCGGAUGAUGUUAAUUUUUUAAUGACUCAUUCGGCGCCUUACG